UACGGAGGGUGCAAGCGUUAAUCGGAAUCACUGGGCGUAAAGCGUACGUAGGCGGCCAUGCAAGUCAGACGUGAAAGCCCUCGGCUCAACCGAGGAAUUGCGUUUGAAACUGCAUGGCUCUGAGUUCGGGAGAGGGUAGCGGAAUUCCCGGUGUAGGAGUGAAAUCCGUAGAUAUCGGGAGGAACACCAGUGGCGAAGGCGGCUACCUGGACCGAUACUGACGCUGAGGUACGAAAGCGUGGGGA
rnacentral:rRNA from 1 species